rnacentral:lncRNA from 1 species
AUACAUUGACCAUGAAAUUCAUGUUCUACAAUGUGAAUGUAAAACUAUUUGGUAGUAGACAACUUGGCCCCCAUUCACCACUUUGCAAUCAACAACUUGGCCUCAUUCUCCACCUUGCAAUCAACAACUUAGCCCCCAUUCUCCACCUUGCAAUCAACAACUUGACCCUCAUUCUCCACCUUGCAAUCAACAACUUAGACCCCAUUCUCCACCUUGCAGUUAACAACUUAGCCAUGGACCAUUCAAUUAUCUGGGCCAUCUACAGCAAUAAAAAAAGCUGACAUGAGUAACGUAUCAUUGGAGAAAGAAGAUAAAACAGGUUAAUAGAGCAACAAAAUUUAGAAGAGAAGCAACAUAUACAAGGUUGAAGGCCAUGAGAUAAAUAAUCUAGCUACAUGAUCAAUACUUGUGACAUUUUUGAGUGGUCAGAUCAGCUGAUCAUAUUUUUCUAUUGUAGCACCAACACACAUUGCUCAGAAUUCAUUUCCAAAGUUAACAACCUCAGUUUUAUAUCCUAGGUCAGUACUUACCAGUGUAAUAAACAUAUUUUCUCUCAACCGAGUUGGAUUGUUCUUAUAUAUUUUCCAGAAUUUGAAGGUGCUACUAAACAAUCACCAUAUCUACAUCACUGAAAGUCCAGAAUGUGAUGAGAAUACAGUUAAAUCAUGGUCUAUGAAGAGAUGAUGACUGAAGUGAUUUCACCUUUGGUUACUGUAAACAUGCACCUUGAUGUACAUGAAGUAGGCCUAUUAUAAGAAUCAAGACUAAAAAAUAUCUCACUAAUAACAAUAUACAAUGGUUUUGGCGCCAUUGUCAAAUUGAUGUUCAUCCAUGCUAAAUGGAAUUAUCUGUAACAAUGUACUUGUACAGGUUGUAUUGCAUAACCUCAAAAAUAUAGCAUACUUCCAUUGAAAUUAUUUUCUUCCAUAAACCACUUUGAAAAACGCCCAUAUCACUUGAGUACAUCAGCAUGUUUUGUAAUCAAACUCGAUGAGAUAUCUAGAGAUAUACACAGGUCAUACACAUCUUUGCACUGUUGGGACAUCCCAUACACAUAGUUUGAACUAUUUUCGUUAACAGAACAAAAUUUAAACAGUACUAACGUUCCUGCAAUACAUAUAUAUAGAGGAAGUCAACAGUAGCUCUACCUGUAUUCCUUCUUGAGCGUGGAUCCAAAUUAGAGAUACCAUAAAGAGGGUCUUGUCGGGGUUUUCUAUUUACUAAGCCGGCUGGGAGUUAUAUGAGAAUUAGAUAUGAACACUAUCAAUACGCGUAAAAGACAAGUGAACAUUAGACAUACCAGAGUGGUGUAUAACUUGUUCCUAAUAGGACACCAAAGUUAUUAUGGGGAGACAAAUUGUCCUGGAUUCUGCACAACUCCCACAAGAAGAAUUCAGGCAAGCUACCUAAUUCUUUGAACAGCACCCCAAAAUAUCACAUAAACCCAUUGUUAACUUUCAUGACAGGACAAUAUAAACGCAAUCAAACUACAAGUCUACAACACAU